AAAUCUGUACGCUCAACGUACAGGCUGCCGGGAAUACUGCAGAGCUAGGGAGUGGGAGAGGUAGACGGUACUCGGGAGGAAGUGGUAAAAUGCUUUGAUCUUUCGAUGACCACCUGUGGCGAAGGCGGUCUACCAGAACACGUCCGACGGUGAGGGAUGAAAGCUGGGGGAGCAAACCGGAUUAGAUACCCGGGUAGUCCCAGCUGUAAACUAUGCAAACUCAGUGAUGCAUUGGCUUGUGGCCAAUGCAGUGUUGCAGGGAAGCCGUUAAGUUUGCCGCCUGGGAAGUACGUACGCAAGUAUGAAACUUAAAGGAAUUGGCGGGGGAGCACCACAAGGGGUGAAGCCUGCGGUUCAAUUGGAGUCAACGCCAGAAAUCUUACCCGGAGAGACAGCAGAAUGAAGGUCAAGCUGAAGACUUUACCAGACAAGCUGAGAGGUGGUGCAUGGCCGUCGCCAGCUCGUGCCGUGAGAUGUCCUGUUAAGUCAGGUAACGAGCGAGAUCCCUGCCUCUAGUUGCCACCAUUACUCUCAGGAGUAGUGGGGCGAAUUAGCGGGACCGCCGCAGUUAAUGCGGAGGAAGGAAGGGGCCACGGCAGGUCAGUAUGCCCCGAAACUCUGGGGCCACACGCGGGCUGCAAUGGUAACGACAAUGGGUUCCGAACCCGAAAGGAAGAGGUAAUCCUCAAACGUUACCACAGUUAUGACUGAGGGCUGCAACUCGCCCUCACGAAUAUGGAAUCCCUAGUAACUGCGUGUCAUUAUCGCGCGGUGAAUACGUCCCUGCUCCUUGCACACACCGCCCGU
rnacentral:rRNA from 1 species